UACGUAGGGUGAAAGCGUUAAUCGGAAUUUCUGGGCGUAAAGCGUGCGCAGGCGGCUUUGCAAGUCAGACGUGAAAUCCCCAGGCUCAACCUGGGAACUGCGUCUGAUACUGGAUGGCUUGAAUUCGGGAGAGGGAUGCAGAAUUCCAGGUGUAGCGGUGAAAUGCGUAGAUAUCUGGAGGAAUACCGGUGGCGAAGGCGGCAUCCUGGACCGACAUUGACGCUGAGGAGCGAAAGCUAGAGGAGCAAACGGG
rnacentral:rRNA from 1 species